AUGGAGACCUGUAUGAAUGGCAUAACGAGGGCUCAACUGUCUCCUUUUUCAAGUCAGUGAAAUUGAUCUCCCCGUGCAGAAGCGGGGAUACUUACAUAAGACGAGAAGACCCUAUGGAGCUUCAGACACCAAGGCAGAUUAUGUUAAUAAAUCCCACAUAAGGGGACAAACAGGAUAAGCCCUGCCCUAAUGUC
rnacentral:rRNA from 1 species